rnacentral:rRNA from 1 species
GUUAAGCGACUAAGCGUACACGGUGGAUGCCCUGGCAGUCAGAGGCGAUGAAGGACGUGCUAAUCUGCGAUAAGCGUCGGUGAGGUGAUAUGAACCGUUAUAACCGGCGAUUUCCGAAUGGGGAAACCCAGUGUGUUUCGACACACUAUCAUUAACUGAAUCCAUAGGUUAAUGAGGCGAACCGGGGGAACUGAAACAUCUAAGUACCCCGAGGAAAAGAAAUCAACCGAGAUUCCCCCAGUAGCGGCGAGCGAACGGGGAGGAGCCCAGAGCCUGAAUCAGUGUGUGUGUUAGUGGAAGCGUCUGGAAAGGCGCGCGAUACAGGGUGACAGCCCCGUACACAAAAAUGCACAUAUUGUGAGCUCGAUGAGUAGGGCGGGACACGUGGUAUCCUGUCUGAAUAUGGGGGGACCAUCCUCCAAGGCUAAAUACUCCUGACUGACCGAUAGUGAACCAGUACCGUGAGGGAAAGGCGAAAAGAACCCCGGCGAGGGGAGUGAAAAAGAACCUGAAACCGUGUACGUACAAGCAGUGGGAGCCUCUUUUAUGGGGUGACUGCGUACCUUUUGUAUAAUGGGUCAGCGACUUAUAUUCUGUAGCAAGGUUAACCGAAUAGGGGAGCCGAAGGGAAACCGAGUCUUAACUGGGCGUUAAGUUGCAGGGUAUAGACCCGAAACCCGGUGAUCUAGCCAUGGGCAGGUUGAAGGUUGGGUAACACUAACUGGAGGACCGAACCGACUAAUGUUGAAAAAUUAGCGGAUGACUUGUGGCUGGGGGUGAAAGGCCAAUCAAACCGGGAGAUAGCUGGUUCUCCCCGAAAGCUAUUUAGGUAGCGCCUCGUGAAUUCAUCUCCGGGGGUAGAGCACUGUUUCGGCAAGGGGGUCAUCCCGACUUACCAACCCGAUGCAAACUGCGAAUACCGGAGAAUGUUAUCACGGGAGACACACGGCGGGUGCUAACGUCCGUCGUGAAGAGGGAAACAACCCAGACCGCCAGCUAAGGUCCCAAAGUCAUGGUUAAGUGGGAAACGAUGUGGGAAGGCCCAGACAGCCAGGAUGUUGGCUUAGAAGCAGCCAUCAUUUAAAGAAAGCGUAAUAGCUCACUGGUCGAGUCGGCCUGCGCGGAAGAUGUAACGGGGCUAAACCAUGCACCGAAGCUGCGGCAGCGACACUAUGUGUUGUUGGGUAGGGGAGCGUUCUGUAAGCCUGUGAAGGUGGCCUGUGAGGGUUGCUGGAGGUAUCAGAAGUGCGAAUGCUGACAUAAGUAACGAUAAAGCGGGUGAAAAGCCCGCUCGCCGGAAGACCAAGGGUUCCUGUCCAACGUUAAUCGGGGCAGGGUGAGUCGACCCCUAAGGCGAGGCCGAAAGGCGUAGUCGAUGGGAAACAGGUUAAUAUUCCUGUACUUGGUGUUACUGCGAAGGGGGGACGGAGAAGGCUAUGUUGGCCGGGCGACGGUUGUCCCGGUUUAAGCGUGUAGGCUGGUUUUCCAGGCAAAUCCGGAAAACCAAGGCUGAGGCGUGAUGACGAGGCACUACGGUGCUGAAGUGACAAAUGCCCUGCUUCCAGGAAAAGCCUCUAAGCAUCAGGUAACAUCAAAUCGUACCCCAAACCGACACAGGUGGUCAGGUAGAGAAUACCAAGGCGCUUGAGAGAACUCGGGUGAAGGAACUAGGCAAAAUGGUGCCGUAACUUCGGGAGAAGGCACGCUGAUAUGUAGGUGAAGCGACUUGCUCGUGGAGCUGAAAUCAGUCGAAGAUACCAGCUGGCUGCAACUGUUUAUUAAAAACACAGCACUGUGCAAACACGAAAGUGGACGUAUACGGUGUGACGCCUGCCCGGUGCCGGAAGGUUAAUUGAUGGGGUUAGCGGUAACGCGAAGCUCUUGAUCGAAGCCCCGGUAAACGGCGGCCGUAACUAUAACGGUCCUAAGGUAGCGAAAUUCCUUGUCGGGUAAGUUCCGACCUGCACGAAUGGCGUAAUGAUGGCCAGGCUGUCUCCACCCGAGACUCAGUGAAAUUGAACUCGCUGUGAAGAUGCAGUGUACCCGCGGCAAGACGGAAAGACCCCGUGAACCUUUACUAUAGCUUGACACUGAACAUUGAGCCUUGAUGUGUAGGAUAGGUGGGAGGCUUUGAAGUGUGGACGCCAGUCUGCAUGGAGCCGACCUUGAAAUACCACCCUUUAAUGUUUGAUGUUCUAACGUUGGCCCGUAAUCCGGGUUGCGGACAGUGUCUGGUGGGUAGUUUGACUGGGGCGGUCUCCUCCUAAAGAGUAACGGAGGAGCACGAAGGUUGGCUAAUCCUGGUCGGACAUCAGGAGGUUAGUGCAAUGGCAUAAGCCAGCUUGACUGCGAGCGUGACGGCGCGAGCAGGUGCGAAAGCAGGUCAUAGUGAUCCGGUGGUUCUGAAUGGAAGGGCCAUCGCUCAACGGAUAAAAGGUACUCCGGGGAUAACAGGCUGAUACCGCCCAAGAGUUCAUAUCGACGGCGGUGUUUGGCACCUCGAUGUCGGCUCAUCACAUCCUGGGGCUGAAGUAGGUCCCAAGGGUAUGGCUGUUCGCCAUUUAAAGUGGUACGCGAGCUGGGUUUAGAACGUCGUGAGACAGUUCGGUCCCUAUCUGCCGUGGGCGCUGGAGAACUGAGGGGGGCUGCUCCUAGUACGAGAGGACCGGAGUGGACGCAUCACUGGUGUUCGGGUUGUCAUGCCAAUGGCACUGCCCGGUAGCUAAAUGCGGAAGAGAUAAGUGCUGAAAGCAUCUAAGCACGAAACUUGCCCCGAGAUGAGUUCUCCCUGACUCCUUGAGAGUCCUGAAGGAACGUUGAAGACGACGACGUUGAUAGGCCGGGUGUGUAAGCGCAGCGAUGCGUUGAGCUAACCGGUACUAAUGAACCGUGAGGCUUAACCUU